GAUGAACGCUGGCGGCGUGCUUAACACAUGCAAGUCGAACGGGAAACCUUUUAAUGAAGCUUCGGCAGAUUUAGCUGGUUUCUAGUGGCGGACGGGUGAGUAACGCGUGGGUAACCUGCCUUAUACAGGGGGAUAACAGUCAGAAAUGACUGCUAAUACCGCAUAAGCGCACAGGACCGCAUGGUCCGGUGUGAAAAACUCCGGUGGUAUAAGAUGGACCCGCGUUGGAUUAGCUUGUUGGUGGGGUAACGGCUCACCAAGGCGACGAUCCAUAGCCGGCCCGGGGAGGGGGAGGGGCCACAUGGGGACGGAGACACGCCCGAGCCUCCUAGGGGAGGAGGGAGGGGGAAAUAUGGAACAAGGGGGGAAACCUGGAGGCAGCGAGGCGGGGGGAAGGAAGAAGUAUCGCGGUAUGAAAACUUCUAUCACCAGGGAAGAUGGGGAGGUUACCUAAGAAAGAGGCCCCGCCUAACUAGGUG
rnacentral:rRNA from 1 species